rnacentral:lncRNA from 1 species
AGUCAAGGGAACCUGUUUAUGGUUGAAGAGAUAUGAGAGGAGAUAUGAACAUAUGCAUGAGAAAAUCUAACAGAGAGUUGUUGUGAACUGAGAAAGUUUUAUUGAUACUGGAAAUGUUACAACCUGAGACUACAAACUAAGAGAUGAAGUUUAUAAGAGAGUGAGAGUGACAGGACCCACCCCGAAUUUCACCCUGAAACCCAAGGUAAAUCUUGCGGCAUAACCUUUCUUGAAAAUGGACAACCCUUACAUGAAAAAUCCAACUUAACACUUCUAUAACCUAACAAACCAGCCUCAACACCUGGAGCCUUCCUGCUCCCCAAGAUCGACACAUCUCCCAAUAUAACAAUUACUCAACUCUAAUAAUCCCACAACCAAGAAUAAGGACUAUUAAUAAUUUACUAUUGGACUUUCAGAACAUAUCUAAAGUUGAACGAAAAACAACGAAUAAAGAAUAUGCGGAAGCAGCCUCUGACUAUGCCUCAACUCCAUGUACGCUCGACCUCCUUUAAAACUUAGCCUGCACACUGGGCAUUUGAAACCGAAGAGCCCAGGAAAAAGUAAUAUAAAAACGUUAGAGUGAGUGGACGAAAAAUUAAACAAAUAACUGAUCGCAACAUAACUAACCAAACUUAAUUACUUUCCCAUUUUCCAAUAAUCAAGAAAUCUGUUGCAUGCAAGUGUUGGUAAAACUUUCAUAAAGAAAAUUCCAAGGAAACGGACUAGCCUCGCUAGUCAAAUAUUGAAAAAGAUAAAUAACAACCUUUAUUGAAGAAAAUACCAAAAUAAUGGACUAGCCCCGCUAGACAAAACAACAAUAAACAAUAAACAGAUAUAGCCAUACAAGUGAGCCUCCCAGACAUGGUUGCCUCCCAGGCAAAGUACUCCCAUACUCCCUAUACCUUCAUGUUAUGAUAACAGAGAGGGUGUAGGGCUUGCGUGAUGUCGUCGACUACAUCACAUCACCCGAAGGCGGAAAGGGCUUGAGUAACCCCACUUAAAACGUGGAAGGUACAUCGCCUCGAAAGACGGAACAACAUGCUAGCAUGAAUAAUAACGAUCCAACAAGUAUGGCAUAAAUAAAGAAACAUAAAUCCAUGUGAGUUUCCCCGAAACUCAUAAUUAAAGCAUAAUACGAUUCCCAACCGUACUCAAAGAAUUCAAAAAGUAAAGAAAAUAAUUAAAUUCGAUGACGUGUCCCACACGUUAAAAUGCUCAAUGAAAUAAUUAAUUUAAAUAAUUUUCACCUUUCGAAAACCCGGCAAUAUGCAAAUUUGGAUAUAAUCUCAAAUCCGGAAAUCAUAAAGUAAAUCCAAACUCAAAUCUCAAAUUAUCAAUCUGAGCUCAAAUCCAUAAAUUAUGACCAACAUUUAAUCCAUGCAUCAAUCUCAAAUAAUUUCCAAGAUCAUUUCAUAUGCCGAAGUUAUAAUAUAUGCUCGGAAAAUAAAAUAUUAAUUUAUAAAAUCUUGCAUGCAUAUUAAUUAAAAACCAAAAUGUCCACUCACAGAUUUAGGCCUAAGCCUGACGAAUUCCGAAUCACCACUCAAGCGUGGUCUCCUCGAAUCCUGGCACAACAACCAUGUUUAGGACUAAACUUCAAUUCCGGAAAAUAAUUACGUGAAUAAAAAUAUCUAACUCUCUUCCGUUUAACCCACUACUCUUAUUAGGGUUAAACUCACCGGAUUCACAUCAAACUCCACCACAACCUCAAAUCAUCAAUUCUAACAUUCCAGGCUAAAUACCAAGGAAAUUUAACGGCCGGAUUUUCAUUCUAAUAACCGGCAAAAUCCUUAAUCUUUUAAAAAUCCCAAACCUUAUCAAAACUCCUCCAAAAAUUCCAAACUAUAUUUCAUUAAACUCCUCUCAUUAUAACAAACCUGAAAAUCAACCUCCAAGUGGCGGCGCCGCCGCCUGCCCCGACGUCGACCAAUGCCUCCCAAAUUUUAACAGAAUAAUCCUCUCAUCAUGCACAACAACUUCCAUAACUAGCACUUAGUCCAAUUCUAAGCCUAACUAGGGUAAUCGAAUCAAAACAUCUAAAAAUCCCCCAAUUCAAACCCUAGCUCGAAAAUCCUCCUACACACUUCGAAUUGGAUCAUUACCUUCUAGGGAAAUGUUACACAUGGAGAGCACUUCCCAAUGGAACUGAAAUCACUGGAAAUGGUGGCCGGAGGAGCGAGUUCCGACGUCGGGACUCCACCACGCAGCCGGAGCUUCCGGGCGAGCUCUCUCCCUCACGGUGGCGCUAGGGCAGCUCUCACCGGUCCAGGAAGAAGGCUAGGUCGACGGCCGACCGUUUGGGACAGUGCGCCGGUCUAUGGUGGCCGGACGGCGGUUAUCGGAGCCGAGGAAUCCGGUCAGGGUAGGCUCGGGAGAGAGAGAGAGAGAGAGAGAGAGAGAGAGAGAGAGAGAGAGAGAGAGAGAGAGAGAGAGAGAGAANNNNNNNNNNNNNNNNNNNNGAGAGAGAGAGAGAGAAAAUGAGUUGGGCCUUUUGAGCCCAUUUUUGACCCGGUCCACCAUUUAAAAUCCCACUCCAACAAUAAAACACCUCCAAAAAUAAUACCUACUAAAACAAUUAACCUCUCUUAAUUUACCAAACAAGGUCUACUCUUUUUAUCUAAUAACUUUUUUAUGCUAACUCCGAUUUCAACGUUUAGCAUGUCUACGAACUCGUAUUAACGUCCUCUACAACUUUCAUGAAGAAAGUUUUCCCAAAUUCCAAACGAAAGAAAAAGUCAACUUUUAGAGUCUUAAAUAGUAAACGGUUACUUAAAACAGUAAAAGGUCAAAGUAACCCAAAAGUAAAUAACCGCAAAUUGACUUAAGAACCGGGAUGUGACAGACAGGUACUGAGAUUUUUUCUUCUCUAAGCGUAAUAUCUCUUCUCUUCACUUUGCUUCUAAUACUAGAUGAAGCUGAGUUUUCAAAUUCCACUGCGUAUAUGUACGUGGAUGCAGCAUGCAAUCUCAUGCAAACUCUCAUGCUUAGUGAAACGAUUCUCAUGCUCAGGUACAAACUCUCACAAUGAUAUUAAAAUCCUUACAAACUCUUAUGUAGAAGAGACGAAGUCCUUGGUCAACACGUCUUUUUCGUCACUUGGAGACUCACACAACUACCUCCUUUUACCCCAUUAUGCACUAACCAGUUUGUAUGUUAUACCGACUUGUAUAGCAGAACUAUC